GAUGAACGCUGGCGGCGUGCCUAAUACAUGCAAGUCGAGCGAACAGACGAGGAGCUUGCUCCUCUGACGUUAGCGGCGGACGUGUGAGUAACACGUGGAUAACCUACCUAUAAGACUGGGAUAACUUCGGGAAACCGGAUCUAAUACCGGAUAAUAUAUUUAACCGCAUGGUUCAAUAGUGAAAGACGGUUUUGCUGUCACUUAUAGAUGGAUCCGCUCCGCAUUAGCUAGUUGGUAAGGUAACGGCUUACCAAGGCAACGAUGCGUAGCCGACCUGAGAGGGUGAUCGGCCACACUGGAACUGAGACACGGUACAGACUCCUACGGGAGGCAGCAGUAGGGAAUAUUCCGCAAUGGGCGAAAGCCUGACGGAGCAACGCCGCGUGAGUGAUGAAGGUCUUCGGAUCGUAAAACUCUGUUAUUAGGGAAGAACAAAUGUGUAAGUAACUAUGCACGUCUUGACGGUACCUAAUCAGAAAGCAACGGCUAACUACGUG
rnacentral:rRNA from 1 species